UGCAACAUUUUUACAGUAGUGAAGAUAUGGAAGCACCCUAAGUGACCAUUGACAGGCAAAUAGAUAAAGAAGAUCUCGUGUAUAUAUAAAAUGGAAUAUGCCUCA